GCACUCACUUCAGCAGCACUUUCAGCAAAGUUGAAAUGGUAAUAGAGAAGAUUAGCAUGGCCCCUGUGCAAGGAUGACGCCCAAAUUCAAGGAGAAAUCAUGU